rnacentral:misc_RNA from 1 species
GAUGAAGAACACAGCGAAAUGCGAUACUUGGUGUGAAUUGCAGAAUCCCGUGAACCAUCGAGUCUUUGAACGCAAGUUGCGCCCGAAGCCUCGGCUAAGGGCACGUCUGCCUGGGCGUCACGCAUCGCGUCUCCCCCAAACCGCCAAGGCGGAGGGGAAGGAAGAUGGCUUCCCGUGCCUCACCCGGGCGCGGUUGGCCUAAAUUUGGAGCCCGCGGCACUUAGCUCUCGCGGCGAUAGGUGGUGAACAAGGCCUUGGCCGUGCAAACAACCCGCUGCGAAGCUCUAUGUCACGUGCGCUCGUCGGACCCUUUGAAGUUGCCUUCGGUGACUUAAAACCUUUGCGACCCCAGGUCAGGCGGGGCUACCCGCUGAAUUUAAGCAUAUCAAUAAGCGGAGGA